UACGAAGGACCCGAGCGUUAUCCGGAUUUAUUGGGUUUAAAGGGUGCGUAGGCGGGUUAUUAAGUCAGUGGUGAAAGCCUACAGCUUAACUGUAGAAUUGCCAUUGAUACUGAUAAUCUUGAGUAUGAUUGAGGUGGGCGGAAUGUGUCAUGUAGCGGUGAAAUGCUUAGAUAUGACACAGAAACACCGAUUGCGAAGGCAGCUCACUAAGCCAUAACUGACGCUGAUGCACGAAAAGCGUGGGGGAGCAAA
rnacentral:rRNA from 1 species